rnacentral:lncRNA from 1 species
AAAGACUUAGAGUACUUGGAUCUAACGGAGGACAUGACACAAAACCGAGCGCAAUGGCGUUCUAGGAUUCAUAUAGCCGACCCCACUUAGUGGGAAAAGGCUUUGUUGUUGUUGUUGUCAGACCUUUUGAUAACAGCUAUAACUCUUGGAUUAGUUCCAAGAGACACAACUCUACAUUACAGAAAGUGCAUUACGUUUAACACUUACAUCAUUGACAUGAUCCUAGUUGAUCUAAGGUUCUCACAUAUAUCCUCCUUAGGUUCCUGAGUAAUCAUCUCUAGUUCCUGCUGAAAUCUCUCCAUGGCCGAGAAUGGCAAGCACAUUGGUACCAAUAUUCCAUCCUCAGUGUUGUUUUUGUGUUGAAUGUAGAAGCUAAUCAAAUCCAAGGCCUUGGCGGGUCCAGCAAUUACCGGCCGUCCCCAUCCAAAAUUGACAUCUCCAAAACCUGCACGCGUUGUAUCAGAAACUAUAAAAUAACUUCCUGUCGAUGAAUAUUGAGGUCGCCCUCUUAGUACCAAAAGAUCUGCCACUGAUCUUAAGUAUUCUUCAUUCAUGGUGGCUUUAGCCUUCUUCACCAACUCCAAAGCAUAUCCCAGUGGAUUUUUGCAUAGAGGUUCAGCCUUUGAAACUGCAGCUGGAAAUGCAAAUGCAUUGCCAUAGUAUCCCAAGGGAAGACGUACAUUGUGGUGCUUUCCCCGUGCAUUGACAAUGCAUGAAAUGCGAACAGCCUGUUUUGGAUUAAUUUUAAGUGCAAGAGUGCGACAUUUCCACAAACAAGCUGUGAUCAAGUCAAAUGUGGAGCAAGUGGAAAUUAGGUGGGGUGGAAUCUGUUUUCGAAGGACUCUCAUCUCCUUGGCACCAAAGUAGAAAGAUCGUUGAACCAUGUUUGACUGGUUACUGGAUGUGUAUGAACCAUUAGAAUGGUCAAUCACGUCUUCAUAUUCAUGAUGAACACAUGUAAUUCUUGGUGGAUCUCGAGCAAAUAAGAGCUCUCUCUCCCACACUGGUAGAAUAGAUGGUGCAUGUGCGCCUCUUGCCAUCUCCGCAAUGGCGGUCAGGAACAGGAGCAAUCCAGGUGCAUCGCACAUUGUGUGGUUUAUGCGCAAUGCAAGUAUGAAACCUCCACAUAUAAGACAUGUCACCUGUAUAUUGCAAAAGUUAGUUACUAGACUUUUUUCUUGAUCAUCAUAUUCAUGCUAGUUAACAAUUCUUUAAAAGAAAAGACAAAAAAAAAAAAAAAAAAACACCAUCUAAAUUAGAUGAUCUAAUUAGGAAACAAAAAUUUCAAAAAAAUUAGGAAUAAAAUUCAAGAAAGAUGGAGUCUCUUUGAAAGAGUCUUGUGCAUGUUAUAGUUACUUGAAAGAGUCUUUAAAUAUAGAGGAAUUUAGACAAAACGCUUAUAGAAGAAAAAAUUUAGACAGAAGACAAAGAGGACGACAUGACGACAGGCAAAAGACCUAGAAGAAGAACGGCAAAGAAAACCUACACAAUAAGGGUGAUGUAAGAUUGGUAGAAAACCUAGGACCUAAUUAGGCAGAUACCAUGUAGAAAUAUAAUUUCCUCUAUUCGGUGUGUAUACAAAUUUUACAAUGUAUAGGGUUAAACAUAAGGAUUGUCGAAGAAAAAUUAGUUUCGAAAAAUAAUGAAAAGCGUCUCAUAAUCUUUUCUUUCCAAAACCACCUAAUGACUUUCUUUAAUCAUAAGAACAAAAAGGCGUGGUAGUAUCGUAGAUAAGUUCAAGUUUGGGUGUGGUGGCAAUAUGAUAAAUUUUCGUUUAUGAAAAUGAUUGCCAAUUUUAUGAAAAAAGUUAAAAACAGUUGCGGUGCCACCAAACUUCAACUUAUUUACAAUAUUGUUAGUGCUUUCUUGUUUAUGUCCUUAUUUGUCAUUAAAAAUUUCAUAUGUUGUUGAUUGCACUAAAUUCUUACAAAAAAUCUUCGACGUGUGUAUGCGACCUUAACGCAAAAAACACUACUCAUACCCUUAACCUACUUCAAAGUUUUUGUAAAGAAUUCAUGGUUAUGACCAAAUAUGAAUACGAAAAACUAAUUAACAUAUUAUUAUUCACUCACCUGAACCAGCAGCAAAGGACAACUAAUAAUUCUAUCAGAGCCUGGAAAAUUAUACAAGAACUCCUCUAAGGGUGGACAAUGGGGUAGAAUUUUUUCUCCUAGUUGCUCAAGUGUGACAUCAGCAAAAGCCUCGAUGAACAAGAUACCUUCACCAUUGCAAUCGACCAUGAGCUUUCUGUUAGGCCCUUCCCUAAGCCUUCCAGCUAAAGGGUAGUAAUACACUAAUGCUCUACUUAAGGCUUCCCUGAUCACCUUAACGGGAUUAUGAUGUUUAUUAAGUGAAGGGUUGUCUUUGUAACACAUUAUGAUUGGAACCUGAAAUCUCAAACCUUCUUGGUCGUCCAUAUCUGAGAGAAACUUUGUUUCAUGAGGCGUUGGCUUUGCCGGAGUUAUAAGUUCUGGUUGCAAUCGUUUCACCUGAAUUACUGAGGAUGGCAUCAUUUCAAUAACGAGCUUAAGAACCAACAAAAGAUCAAAGGAUUUGGAACUCUUACUUUGUGGUAUGCAUGCUAACUAGAAGUUGAUAGUCGGUACUUAUAUAGCGUUAUGCAGAUGCUCUAGGGUACCCGAAUCUUCCGUCCAUGUUUCCACCCGUUGUGAAUGUGAUUCUUUUCUUUUCCAUUAAACAUGUUGUUUAGACUUCUUGUUUAUCAAAAGAUCUGAGCGUGCCACUGUUAUCUUUUUGUAUAAUAGAUUGUUGUAUAGGUGUGAAUUACGUCAAUUACUUGUGCUUCAAGUUAUUUAGACUUCUUGUUUAUCAAAGGAUUGUCAUAGAUGCGUUAAGUCUGUAUAAGGUUAUUUUCCUGCCUUGUAAAUAAUGACUUUUACUUAUAACAUUGUAUGUCCAAAAUGAAGGGAGUUCAGGGCUCUUCCAACCAUUUCCUUAAUCAAAGUUUGCUUUAAUGAAAACAAGUUCAUUAACUUAUCCAGAUUUGAUUAUAGAUGAAACUUUUGAGUGGAAAACAGUCGAAAAUGACUUAAAUACAUGAAGAAAAAUGCAUUAAACAACAAAUCUACUAUUUAUAAGUACAAACAAAAGAGAUUCGGGCAACAUUUAACCUUGUCAGGCAAGGUUGAACUUUUGCAACCACUUUACUUUGUGUUUUCAGGGGUUUGUAUACUGUCAGGGAUGAAAAGUAAAUAGGUUUUACUAGAGGGAAUCGAUGUUACAACACUAAGGGAAUGUAGCAGAGCUUCUAAACUCGACAAAAGAUGGCUUUCUAUAAGGGAACUACAGCUAAAAAGGACAAAAUCUGGACAAAUUGCAACUUUCUGGGUACGAACUUGUUUGAGAGCAAAGUUUGUAUGUCUUUUGAUUGAUUGGCUGAGUGUCCUUGUCUCUGGUGUCCCUCUAUACUUUUAUAGACAAUAUGGCCCAACUGUCCAAGCCUUGCCUUUAGCUGAUAGUUCUCGGAGGGCAGUGAGUCAUCACCUAUUUACUCAUCCAUACCCUUGAAAAGUGUUUUUUGGUUAGUGGUGAGGUGCCCUUUGUUGCCCAUCACUUCAAUCAUAGGCAUAUGGCCUAUGCCUAUGUUGAAAUAGCUUCCAAUUCUUCUCAUACCUAUUGGCUUGUCUGAGUCCAGACUUUUCCUUGCUUUUGCAUCUUUGGGCCUCCAUUAUAACAAAGCCCAAAGUCAAAUAUAAACCCAAACACAAGGAACUAACAAAUUACAUGGAACUUUUUAUUUAGAGCCUUGAUGGGCAUAUACAUGCCCUGUUUUUCCUCAGCCUGUUUACUUGCUUGAAAUUUCAUAUGCAAACAUUGCUUUGCUUCCCUCUUUUCAUUUUGGAUUUGACGGCUUGGCUACAUAGACUUUUUUUUGGGCAUGUGACUUUCUUGUUGUUCAAUUUUGUGUGAACAUUGUAAUUUACUUUAUUAUGUUUUCGGUUUGGUAGGUCGCUUAAGCUAUAUACUUGAAUUAGUGAAACUUGCUCGAUGAUGUGAACUUGAAAUACCUAUUAAUCAUAUAAGCAAACCCAAUUUUAACUUGCAAUUUUAACUUGCAAACCCAAUUAAUCAUAGUAAGAGCAAGUAUGAAGUCGUUCCCACGAGUAGGUUUUUACUUUAAUUUGAGUCUCAACUCAAAUUCAACAAACUUUUAAUACAAAUAGGGCUGAAAAUUUUACCUAGAAUGAAAGAGCCAAGGAGAUCUCAAACCCAAAAUCACGAGUAGGUGGGAAGAAUAUUUGAGUGCUUGUAAUUGUUUCUACAUAUGCUUCUACAGUAAUCAAGGAUCCUAUCAUUGUGCGUGAUUAGUUUACUUUUGUGUUCUUGAUCGCAUAUAUAUCAUUUUGCACUCAUUGGUUUGAGGAAAUUAAGGCUCAGACUUCGUGAUAUUUUCAUGGUUCUUUAAGAAAUCCAUUGAAAUCUUACUAAAUUGUCUAACAAAUGAGCAAUUUGAUUCUUACUGUUGGAGGAAAGAUUAGCAGUUUUCAAUUACACUGCAGAAAGGAAGAAUACAAGAGAAUAUAUAUGGAGGAUGACUGGAUGAGUUUUGAAUGGGAACUAAAAUUUACAUAACUUUAUUGCUUUUAGAUUUUUAUUACAACACUUGGCCAUCUUAUUGGCUAUCUAUAUUAACAUUCAGACCUUUAGAUGACAGCCAUAACUCUUGGAUUAGUUUCAAGAGACACAACUCUACAUUACAGAAAGUGCAUUACGUUUAACACUUACAUCAUUGACAUGAUCCUAGUUGAUCUAAGGUUGUUACAUAUAUCCUCCUUAGGUUCCUGAGUAAUCCUCUCUAGUUCCUGCUGAAAUCUCUCCAUGGCCGAGAAUGGCAAGCACAUUGGUACCAAUAUUCCAUCCUCAGUGUUGUUUUUGUGUUGAAUGUAGAAGCUAAUCAAAUCCAUGGCCUUGGCGGGUCCAGCAAAUACUGGCUGUCCCCAUCCAAAAUUGACAUCUCCAACACCUACACGAGUUAGAUCAGAAACUAAAAAAUUACUUCCUGUCGAUGAAUAUUGAGGUCGCCCUCUUAGUACCAAAAGAUCUGCCACUGAUCUUAAGUAUUCUUCAUUCAUGGUAGCUUUAGCCUUCUUCACCAACUCUAAAGCAUAUCCCAGUGGAUUUUUGCAUAGAAGUUCAGCCUUUGAAAUUGCAGCUGGAAAUGCAAAUGCAUUGCCAUAGUAUCCCAAGGGAAGACGUACAUUGUGGUGCUUUCCCCGUGCAUUGACAAUGCAGGAAACUCGAACAGCCUGUUUUGGAUUAACUUUAAGUGCAAGAGUGCGACAUUUCCACAGACAAGCUAUGAUCAAGUCAAAUGUGGAGCAAGUGGAAAUUAGGUGGGGUGGAAUCUAUUUUCGAAGGACUCUCAUCUCCUUGGCACCAAAGUAGAAGGAUCGUUGAACCAUGUUUGACUGGUUACUGGAUGCGUAUGAGCCAUCAGAAUGAUCAAUCACGUCUUCAUAUUCAUGAUGAGCACAUGUAAUUCUUGGUGGAUCUCGGGCAAACAAGAGCUCUCUCUCCCACACUGGUAUAAUAGAUGGUGCAUGUAUUACGCCUCUUGCCAUCUCCGCAACGGCGGUCAGGAACUGGAGAAAUCCAGGUGCAUCACACAUUGUGUGGUUUAGGCGCAAUGCAAGUAUGAAACCUCCACAUUUAAGACGGGUCACCUGCAUAUUGAAAAAGUUAGUUACUAGACUUUUUUCUUGAUCAUCCUAUUCGUGCUAGUUAACAAUUCCUUAGAAGAAAAGACCCAAAAAACUAUCUAAAUUAGAUGAUCUAAUUAGGAAACCAAAAUUUCAUAAAAAUCAGGAAUAAAAUUCAAGAAAGAUGGAAUCUCUUCGAAAGAGUCUCGUGCAUGUUGUAGUUACUUGAAAAAGUCUUUAUAAUACAGAGGAAUUUAGACAAAAUGCUUAUAGAAGAUAGAAAAGCGAAAAACCUAGAAGAAGAACGGCAUAGGAAAACCUAUGCAAUAAAGGUGAUGUGAGACUGAUAGAAAACCUAGGACCUAUUACCAUGUAGAAAUGUAAUUUCCUCGAUUCGGUGUGUACACAAAUUUUAAAAUAUAUAGGGUUAAACAUAAGGAUUGUCGAAGAAAAAUCAGUUUCGAAAAAUAACAAAAAGCGUCUCAUAAUCUUUUCUUUUCAAAACCACCUAAUGAACUUUCUUUAAUCAUAAGAACAAAGAGGCGUGGUAGUAUUGUAGAUAAGUUCAAGUUUGGGUGUAAUGGCAAUAUGAUAAAUUUUCAUUUAUGAAAAAGGUUGCCAAUUUUAUGAAAAAGUUAAAAACAGUUGCGAUGCCACCAAACUUCAACUUAUUUACAAUAUUAUUAGCGUUUUCCUGUUUAUGUCCUUAUUUUCAGUAAAAAUUCAUAUGUUGUUGAUUGCACUAAUUUCUUACAAAAAAUCUCCGGUGUAUGUAUGUGAUCUUAACUCAAAAAAUACUACUCUUACCCUUAACCUACUUCAAUUUUUUUGUAAAGAAUUAAUGGCUAUGACCAAAUAUGAAUACGAAAACCUAAUUAACAUGUUAUUAAUAAUUAAUUGACUCACUUGAACCAGCAGCAAAGGACAACCAAUAAUUCCAUCAGAGCCUGGAAAAUUAAAUAAAAACUCCUCUAAGAGUGGACAAGGGGGUAGAAUUUUGUCUCCUAGUUGCUCAAGUGUGACAUCAGUAGAAGCCUCGACAAACAAGAUACCUUCACCAUUGCAAUCGACCAUGAGCAUUCUGUUAGGCCCUUCCCUUAGCCUACCAGCUAAAGGGUAGUAAUACACUAAUGCUCUACUUAAGGCUUCCCUAAUCACCUUAAUAGGAUUACGAUUUUCAUUAAGUGAAGGGUUGUCUUUGUAACACAUUAUGACUGGAAGCUGAAACCUCAAGCCUUCUUGGUCAUCAAUAUCUGAGAGAAACUUUGUUUCUUGAGGCGUUGACUUUUCCGGAGUUAUAAGUUCCGGCUGCAAUCGUUUCACCUGAAGUACUGAGGGUGGCAUCAUUUCAGUAACGAGCUUAAGAACCAGCAAAAGAUCAAAGGAUUUGGAACUCUUACUUUGUGGUAUGCAUGCUAACUAAAAGUUGAUAGUCAGUACUUAUAUAGCGUUAUGCAUAUGCUAGGGUUCCGAAUCUUGCGUUUAGGGUGCGUUUGGUAUGUGGGACGGGACGGGACGGAACGGGACGAGGCGUUCCGUCCCGCGUUUGGUGCGCCAAAAAUGGGUGGAACGGGCUGUUCCACGGGACAUAUUUUGGGUGUUUUUGCGUCUCACCUCCCCCCUGGAACGGGUUUGUUCCACGUCUGUGGAACACAAUGUUUUACCAUUUUAAGACAAAUAUACCCCAUGUCUUUUUCAAAAAUUACACCUUCGUUCCGUCCCGUCCUGUCCCGUUCCGUCUCGUUCCGUCUCGUCUGCGUACCAAACGCACCCUUAAGUUUCCAUCCGUUGUGAAUGUGAUUCUUUUCUUUUCCAUUAAACAUGUUGUUAAUUUUUAGAAAGAAACGCUUAAAUCACGCAAUCAACAUGGACUGCAAAGACAAACGUGUUGUUGAGAGUUAUGUGCAUGGGACCGUUUCACAGUGCACACCACAGAUUCAUGCAUAUACAUUAAUACUGAAUAUUAUUUCACCAUCAGAAAACUGAAUACUAACAGGAUAUGAGGACAGGUGUGCGGUAGAAAAGCUUUGAUAGGGAUGGAAGUAAAAAGGCCAACAUCGUAGUACGUACCUGCCGCAAUUACAGUUAUCGUUGGACCCGGCUUCUCUGCCUCUCAUUUUUCAUAUAUUUCUAUCUCCUCUUAUUUGUACAGUCACAAUUAAAUCACGUUAACAUUUUAUAUUACUAUUAUUUUUUAUUUUAUUAUAUUUUAAAAAAAAUUAAUAUAAAAUAUUAACGUAGCUUAACCGUGACUGUACAAAAUAGGAAGGAAUAAGAAUGUAUAGAAAGUGGGAGGGUAGAGAAGCCGGAUCCUUAUUGUGAAGCAUCGAACGUCUGCUAUAAAGGAAAACAAUGUUGUUUUAUAAUGUCUGGCAUAUAAGCACGGGAGAAUAUUGUUUCACAUUAUUAUUAAUUUUGACUGAACUGGUGACUACUUAAUUAUGAGUACAGAUUCUUUUCGGAUCUAAAAAAAUUAAGUUUAAGGAUCAAAUCAUUCGAACUGUUGAAAUUUGAUCCAACAGCUACAAAUAAGAGAUCUCUCUAAAAGUUAUAAUAAUUGUAGCCGUUGAAUUAAAUUUCAACAGUUAAGAUCAUUUGAUCAGUAGGCUUAGGGGGUGUAUUCAAUUGGGAUUUUGAGGGAUUUUAAUUCUUUUAAUGAAUCCAGGGGGUAUUCAAUUAGGAUUUUAAGUGAUUCUCUAAAAUUCAAUGUGUAUUCAAUCAGGAUUUUAAGAUAAUUUCUUAAAAUUCUUAGAAACCCUGGUGUAUUCAAUUAGAAUUUUAAAAAAGUUUAUAACAUUCCAGGUGUAUUAUAUUAGAAUUAGAAUUUAAAAAAUUUAGAAAAGUUGAGGAAUUUGAGGGAAUUUGAGAGAUUUUGUAGUGUAUUUUAAGCAUCUACAAAUCUCACCUCUUCCCAUGAGAUUUUAAGGGAAUUGAAUCAAAAUUUUAUAUGGAAUAUCUACAAAUUAGUUAAACUCCAUAAAAAUUCAUGGAUUUAUAAAUCCAUUAAAAUCUAUCAAAUUCCCAAUUGAAUACAUCCCUAGUUUUUUUUUAAAUCUGGAGAGGAUUUGUACUCCUCAAUUAUCUCAUGAUAAAAGUUUGUUAUGAUGAAGAAAGUUGAGGCUCCGUAAAAUUAAUCGAUAAUAUAGGGAGCAGCUUAAUCACUUGUAUGCAUAUGCAAGGUCCUCUUUUAUCUUAUGUGAAAUUCAUACUCCCAAUAUGUAUCUUCAUGUGUGUCAAAUUUUUAAGUUUACCACAUGAAUAACACAAACCAAGUGGCGUGGAGCACGUCAAGUAUUAGACUUCACACAUGAGACAAUUUGGUCUGAUACCAUGACGAAAGUUGAGGUUCCAUCGCCACUUAGUACUACGGUCUAGUGGUAUUCCUCUCCACUUGUAAGUGAUAUUUUAGGUUUAAUUCUCGCCAAAGGCAAAUUUGAACUGCAUUAUUGUUUGUCUAUUGUGAGUAUAAGCUCAUCAUCUUUCCCUCAGUGUAAAUAAUGUCGUUUGUUAAAAAAAAUAGUUGAGAUUGAAUCAUAAAACUAAUUGACAAUAUGAAGAGUAACUCAAUUACUUAUAAGCACAUGUAAGGUCCUUCCUUACCUAAUAUGAGAUCCAUAGUCUCAACAUUUCACUGUUAAGCAAAUAUGUACAAAAACAAAAUGGAACAAAUAAUUCGAUCACUUGACAAAAUAGAACUCAUUGAAGACAAUAUUAUGUUUGUUAAAAUGGAAAUGGAGCUUCGGAUUACACCCAACUUUUAUCUCCUCACCCAACGAACUCUUUUUACUCUACAAGAUUUUAAAAACUUAACAUCUACUCUCCGCACUCACCAAAUCUACCAAAAUUACCCCUUCCAAAUCAUUCUCCAUCUUACACGGUAUAUCUUCUCAUCCAACAACCUCCCCUUCAAUAUUGGGUGGCCGAACCCACUUUCCUCCAUCAUUAUUCAUGAAGCUAUGCACACUCUUAUAAGGAACAUGAAACCAGCAUCUCUUUGCAACUUCUUAUGAAUUAUGUCUUUAUUUGCGUUCAUUUAAGUUGGUGGUUAGCCAUCCAAUUGUUCUUCCCCAUCAAUUUUUAGAAGAAAUCAAACCAAAUUAGACUCGAGUGUUCAUAUAUUCAUUGGAGUUGAAUAUAACAAUAUGUAAAAUUCCAUCGAAGCCAAAUUGUAUCAAGACUUUGUAACAGCAGCAUGAAGGUCAGGAGUCGACUUGGAGGAGAAGAUCGCGAGCGGGUUCAGCUAGCAUUGGUUAACCGAACCCCCGAUUCCAUGUUCAUGGCUAUCAACUAAUCCUCAACUCUUAUGUUCGGUGCUUAAUUUCUGAACACUGAACUUCCUGUCAAAUUUCGUGUUCGGCAUGUUCAAAUACAUGAUUCAAUCUAGUUGUAUUUUAUUGAAGAAAAUAGAAACAAACCCACGAGGAGUUCAGAGAAAAGUGACGGCUUAGGGCAGAACAUUGCAACUUAAACGUCACUUAUAUACUUCAAGGAUUUUUUGUCACAAUACCACCUUACAUCUCAUUUAAAUUAGCUAGCUAACAAAAGCCUUCAAGACCCCAGUUGUUCUAAGCAACUCUAAACCUCACACCAAAGCAAAUCUAUCUCAUCUCUACAUUUGUAAUUUUGGAUUGAGUCGACAUAUUUGGCCGUUACAAAUUCAGAAAAAAGUAAGCCAUUACUUUUGUUUAGUGCAAAAAUUGGAAGCUAGAAAUCAGUAUAGGCAUCAACACUCUCCUUCAUAUUGUUUCUAGUUUUAACACCAGCAAAUCCCUGAGAUAAACAAAACUCUCUUUUAGCGUACCCUUAGUAAAUAUAUCCACAAUUUGAUCCUCGUAUUUGCAAUAGAGUAAUUCAAUCACAUUAUCUGACGUACAAAGGAUCUCUAAUAAAGUGAUGGUUCCUCUUGACAUGUUUUGUUUUUUUUAGUGAAUCAGAGGAUAUCUUGUUAUAGCAAUUGCAAAGGUGUUGUUGAAUUUUAGUGAUAUAGCAUCUACUUUGAAAACAUAGCUGGGUCGAGGAACCCAAACCCAAUAGAUAAAUAAUCUCAACUAAAAUUUCAAAAGAGGAUUCAAGUACGGUUUCAAUCAUACUAUGUAACAGUGAGGAACAAAAUGAAAUAGAGAAAAAAGAACAAAAGACUCACGAUAUAAUUCAUGGGCACACAAACGAUUAAAGAACCAUUGAGAAAUAAGUACUUUUACAAGACUCAACAAGACCGACAUCUACUACACUUGAAGUUUUCUCUUGUACUUUUAAUCUUGUAGCACACAGUCUUUCUUUUGCUCUCUUUUGGAUGAACACGACGCACUUAGCAGGUUCUCCUCACAACUAAAGAGAUUGCACUCAACUUCGUCACAUAGAUGAACACAACUUCUUCACACAAAUGAAUAUGAUGAAUAAUAUGAAAGGUAUGAAGUGUUUCACUAAGAUCACUCUUCUAACCUAGCACUCAAGAACUUUGCUUUAAACCUUUUAUGCUCAAAUCUUAUAACCAAGCAAAGAUGAAUGAUAGGCUUGAUUUCCUAUGAAACCAACAGCCUAGAAUAAAGGAAACUGGAAUUAUGUACUAGAAUACAAUCAAUUUGGGUUUAUUUCUUAAAACUAGGCAAGUAAACUGAUAUUAUAAUCUUCAAGAUAUGCAAUGACGUGAUUCUCGUUUCCUAUAUGAAUGCACAUUGUCAAUGCAAAUUUUCAUCAUCUUCAGUCUUGAUGAAAAUGCAUCUGCAAAACAAUCAACACCUUUGAUCAAAGACCAAAGUCUCACACGCCCACGAGGUGGGGGGGGGGGUUAGGCCAAUGGAUCUCCGAUGCCUAAGUCAGUUUCUCUAAGGAGAAUAAAGUGUUUAGGGCUUUUUUAGGGUAGCAAAAGCUCUGAAAAUUUGGUAGAUUAUGGGGUAUUUAUAGGGAUAGGGCCGGCCAUAGUGUUAGGGUUUUACCAUACACAUGACGGCAUCCUAUUGGCCAAGGUAUUUAUGGAGAAAUAUUCUCAAAAUAUUCUCAAGAUAUUAAAUAGGAGAUAAUAGAGUAAUUAUCCCUAAUUUAUUUAAAUUGGGAUUACUUGAUUAGAGUCAAUCUUCAAUUGGGAAUGUAUUAAAGAUAGGAUUUGGGUAAUUAGUCCUUAUCUUUAAUUCCUUGCCAAGGGCAAGUGAGAUAUGGGCAGUCUAAUUCAGCUGCUGAGACCUUCAGGGGUGUGAGCUAAGCGUGAGAGCAUAUGAGAAGCCUACCCAUUUAUUAAGGGAAAUCUUGUCUUUCUUGAGAAAAAGUUCACGUGUCGCCUUUAGAAUUUUUGAGAUUAUUUUAGGCUCCACAAAUGUCACGCCCCGAUCCCGACAUACGUCCAUGAUCGACACGUGAUGGCACCAAAUAUUUGUAUCUCAACAUACCCUGCCUUCGGGAUAUGGCAAAUCACGACUUGAGAAUCGAAUUGCAUAGUAAUUUUUCAUACACUUUAUAGCUGCAUCUAACCUCUUUGUUAGAUUGCCUAUGUACCCUAAACAAGGAUCAAGCCAUUUGUAGUUCAUCCUUCAGUAUGCUCGAACAAUCAUCACAUAAAUCGUUAUGUCUCAACAAUAUACCACAAUGCAUAAUAUGCAAUAUUUCAAAGAACAAACGACGAAGCACAAUCAUAUUCUCUAAUCAUUUUGCCAUUCACCCACACCUAUGCAUUCCAACAUCAUCCAAUAAUCACCCCAAUCAAUAACACAUACCAUACACCGAAAUGCAGGGCUAGAACGACACAAUUCGGUCGAAGCCUACUUCUCUGAAACUAAUAUCAAAUCCAAGGAACCAACAAGUCAAUGGAUACGAUUUCAAACCAUUACUCAACAGAAUCGCAGAGUACAAGGGAUUACGGACCAUCACUUAACAGAAUCCAAGUGGAUACGAUUCUGGACCAUCACUCAACGGAAUCGCGGAGUAGAAGGGAUUCUGGACCAUCACUCAACGGAAUCCAAGAGGAUACGAUUCUGGACCAUCACUCAACGGAAUCGCAGAGUAUAAGGGAUUCCAGACCAUCACUCAACGGAAUCCAAGUGGAUACGAUUCUGAACCAUCACUCAACAGAAUCGUGGAGUAGAAGGGAUUCCAAACCAUCACUCAACGGAAUCCAAAUGGAUAAGAUUCCAGACCAUCACUCAACAGAAUCGCAGAGGACCAAGGAACAUAUCAACGGCUCAAGCAAACAACUCAUGAAUCAAGUGCUCAAUUUACAAUGGCUCAGCGAAAUGAAACAAAGCACAAGUAUUAAAUUAGAACGGUCAACGAAGCGAGAAAUGAAAUAAUGAAAUGGGAUAUGAAACAAGUUUUGAAGCAACAAACCCCAUGGUAAUGGGUUAACGGCCCACUACUAGCCCUCACUUUCAUCAUAUCAUACCAUCUAUGCAAAUCAACCACAUUUCAAAUAUGCACGUCAAAUCACAUAUCACACUCAUCAUUAGUACACAAGCCAAAUCAUGUUUAAUAAACUUAAGUCUAUGGCUAAAUAUAUAAAAUCACAUUUCAAUAGAAAUCACAUUAUAAAACCAAGUCAUAUUCACAAAUGAUACUAAUAUAAGAAAUCAAGGUAAUAGCCAUAUCACAUAUGUUCAAGUCACUCUCUAACCAAUGUAGACCCACUAGACUUCACUUAAAGUCUCCCGUAGUACUCAUUUUAGUAUUUAGAACUUUUUGAGACAUGUUGACCAAAAGUCUGACUUUGGUUAACAGUAGGGUCCACAAUCCUACAUAAUUCGAUCCGGAAGAUCCGUAUGUUGGAUUUCGGAUCCGUAACUUCUAAAGGUCCAUAUUAUGCUCAUAGAACAACAUAUUAAAUUCUCAUCACGAUUUGACAGUCGAAUCUCCAUCAAUUGCUAGAAUUAGGUGGCGGUCGACAUUUUAUUUUACGAAACUUACAACCCAAAUUCGAAAAGAUCCAUACGUCGGAUUCCCAAUCAGUAAAUUCCUAAUAUCCUCAAAUAUUAUGUUCUAUAAUAUAUUAAAGUUUGAUGAUUAUUCAACAAUCGGAUCGUCAAUUCACAUAAUAAUCAAGUGGCAACCUCUAAUAAAACUAUGUUCAAACGAUGAGAUUUCGUCAUUUGGACUUCACAUAUGAACUUGGGGUAUCAAAUUUAGCCUAAGAAGGUCAAGGGUGCCUCGGCCCACGUGUCGCCGCCACACGCUGCAGCAUACGGUGGCCGACCGUCCCAACUCGCUGAAAAAUUCAACUAAUUCCAAAAAUUACCAAAUUUCACAUAAAUGAAGAUCUCAAUGAUUAAAGCAACUUUUAUACUCAUGGCCAAGUCCAAUUUGGCUUGCACUCUUCGGAACCCUAGAAUGGUUGAGCUUCGAUUCUCCUUCCUCGGUGUUUUGACGCCCCUACAACUAAUUGGGUCUUGUUCCUGGGUCCAAGGGGAGUUGACUAAGAGUGGUGAUGGGUGGUGUAACUCGCUGAAACGGCAGAAUCGCCGUCGAGCACCUCCAGUGCUCUGAUGGAGUUCCUCACGAUUUUGGGCCUAAAAACCCUCAAAUUUCGGUAGACAUGGUAGAGGCGAGGUUAUCGACUAGUUUUCAGGUGUUGGAUUGGUGAAUUUUGCCUGAAAAAUGGUAGAAAUUGGCCAAAAUUAGAAUCAGGUCGAAACCGAUUUUGUCGUGGGUGUGGUCGACGGUAAGAGGAAGGUCCUCCUCCUGAUUAGCUGCCCCCACCUUUCUUCUAAUUGGUCCCUCCCAUUUUUUUCUGAUUGGUACACACUAACUCUUACAUGAUUGGCCUAUUUCCCACAAAGUGAGAAUUAUUUAAUUAAAAACUAUAGUUUAGUAAACGAUUCAAAUGUCCGUAACUAUACUGUUAUAAUCCGGACUCAUAAACGGUUUUCGCCUAUGCUCUCAUGGUUUCAAGAUCUAUUUGAAAACAUUAAUUAUGACCUCGAAAGGUCAACGACCUUUAAAUAAUUAAAAUCCAAACUUCAAACUUCGUAGCUGGUUUAAUUAAAAUCUAAAUUCAAAUAAAUUAAUAUAAAUUCCUGAAAAAUAGUAUAAAAUCUCAAUAAUAUAAACACGUAGAUUAUAACAGUGAAAUCCAGGCACAGGCUGCACGUAGGAAAAUGAUAGUAGGUGUAGAAAUCCCAAACCGCUUGGCUUGUAAAGUUGUUUCCCAAUUUGAACUUGAUCUCCUUUCUAGUUUUGGAGAUAAACCUCUUCUAGGAAAAGAAAACCAAUUGCCCUCAAUACCUAUUUAAUUCUACCUUAAGCAAGGAAUUAAAAAAAUUUGGAGAGCAAUCAUUAUUCCAAUAAGGAAAAGAACCCAAAGGAAAUUUUUCUUCCCCCUCCCCUAGCUUUCUUCUUCUCUUGCCCUUGCAAAGUCAUCUCUCAUUGUUGUUCUUCUUCUCCAUGCCGCACCAAGGUAAGAAAAAUUUGAAUUUUCUUUUGAAUUUUUAUGGGAGUUUUGGGAUUUGAAAAAUUGGCUGAGCAGGGGCCGAGAAGGCGUGAGUGGCGUGGCAAGGAUGCCACAGGACUGCUGGUGAUGCGGUAAGAGGGUCGGCUGGCCUAAGCCAGGGGCUUGGGUUGGCUCGGGCCGGAAGGAUCGGCAUGCUGGGGCGCGAGGAGGCCGGCUUGGGUCGGGUCUUCAAGGCUGCUGAGCACGGGCCCUUGCAGGCGAGAGGAGCGAGGGAGAGAAGGAGAGGCCGGCUCGGGCCAGGCCUCCCGCUAGCAUGCUGGGCUGAGGGCCUUGGGAGGAAACUUUGUGAACUAAUUAAUUAUUUAGGGCUUAACUCAAUAGACACAUUAGGCACAAAGCUAAGCACUGGUCUAAAUUAUUUACUAGCGUAACAUUCAACCACUCAUGCACAACCCAAUGACUGUGUUUCAUCAUGUAACCACAAAAAUACUUUGAAAAUGCAGUUUUCUGUUUAGUAAUGAAACCGCAACAAGCUAUGGUUUCAAAUCCCUUUUGAUCCAAUCAGUCGUUCUUGUUCAAGAUUUGUCAGAGUCUCGAUUGCUAUCGUCACCACUAUACAUGCCUGAAAACACAAACCAACAAUGUAAAAAACCUGCAUAUGAAGGUACGAGGGCUAUAAACUAUAAACGAGCUCAGGGUAUCAUAAUUCAUAUACAUACUUUUGCAGGUUAUAUUGAAAUAGAACUAAAUUCGAUUCCCCCUCCCCAAAUCGCUUGUCUCCGUCUAGUUUGGAGACACACAAGUAUUGUCAUACUUCUUACUGGAACUUACCCAAACAUAGUUGGAGACACGCAAGUAUUGUCAUACUUCUUACUCAAACAUAGGUGGAGAUAUGCAAGUAAUGUCGUAUUUCUCACUCAAACUUGGAGAUAUGCAUUCUGCAGCUGUUUAUAUUAAGUGUUAUAUUUGCUUGUUAGGUCGACAUUUACGAGUCUGAAGAUUAAUUGAUCCAACAAUGUUCCACCAAAAUAGAUGAAUUAGCACAAGCAUCUGAACUCCUUUGAAUCUAUUAAAAGAUGUCUCCUUGUUCUAGCAAUUUAUUAAUAUCCCAUCACGAACAUCCAUCCGAUACUCUACGACUCACAACCUACUUUCUCUCCUCUUUUUUUCUUUCUCAAAUCUAGUACAGGUUGUAAUGAAUGUAAAUUUAUGUAUAGCAUAUGCAGUAAAACAAAACAGCAUAAUCAGACACUUAAAAACACAUAAAACUGAAUUAUCCCACCAGCAGUAAACAGUUUUAAAAAGUAGAACACUCACCUAAGGUUUUCAGUAGAUCAUAUUGCAAGGACAAUUGAUUGCUAAUUUGUUGAAAUGCCAUAACGGCUGCGAAGAGCAUCAAUUUGUUUCUCAAAGGACUGCGAAAGCUCAGCAAUUGAUGUUUUGCAAGCUGAAAAGUAUGAAAUACAACCCAGAGAAAAAGUACUCAGAAUGAAUAACAGUAGUUUAUACAUUGUUGGCUCAAGAUAGAUUGUUAGUUUGUUACCAAGCACUUAUAAAUCUUAUUAAUGACUCCUAGGAGGCAAUUUAUUAUUUGUCACUCUUUUCUUGUUUGUUCAAUCUUCUUUCUCUUCUCCGCAGUUAUACAAUAUCUUGUUUUUGAUCAAUGAUUCGCUUCUUAGAACAAAGGCAACAAGGCAAACAAGAAAACUCAAAAGGGACAAAGCCUAAAACCCCACCUGAACAAGCUCCAGCGUAGGGUCGGGAACUAAUUAAAAGGGAGCAGCGAAGAGAACGAAAAAACAGACACUAAACGGAAAACAAAACAGCUAACAAACUGAAGAACCUAAGUUAGCACACUAAAUAGUUAGCCAUUAUUGUCCCAAUAGUUUUAAUAGCAAUGUGAAACUUAACAGAUAAAGAAAUGUUAUCCAACCUGUAUCACUUCGAACAUGAGAUUAAAAACGAUUUCCACAUAUGGACACAAUAAUCACUUGUCAAACCCUCAAAAUGAACGACGUCUCUCAAAUGUUUUGAUGAUAAUGCAACAUAGAAUGUUGGUUAGUAGAGAUGAUUGAAUCCAGACUCCAUCAGUACGACAUUAUUACCAAGACAUAACUUACAAAAAAUCCACAUAUUUUAAGCAUGUCAGAGAGGUUUUAAACUGAAGACAUACCACGAGAAGCGGUGGUCUGUGCAUCUGCCAUGAACUCUGCAUAUGAAGCCUGAUAAAAAAGCAGUAGGAUGCACUUGAUGAAUAAGCACUACAAACAUACAAUCAGAAGUAAGUAAACGAAACAAAGAAAGACUAGAUUAAUAUACCGCCAUUGCUUCCCGACUUUCAGUAAUCCUUUGGGUCAUCUUCUUGUAUUCCUUAUCUGCUUCAUCCAACACUUGUUGGCAUGCCUGGCUCUGGAUCUGACGGCACAAAGAGACUUAUAAUUAGGUGAAAAAAACGUGCCCUAGACUGAAUUCUAAUGCUCCUCUUCCCUAACUAUUACUACCACUGAGUACUAGUUCAUCAUACAGCAGACAAAACCUUAUUUUAAAUAGACAUUAAGUUUUAAUUAUAAUUAAGAAUUAAUUAGAUUUAAAUUUAUUUUGCUUUAGCAGACCUUGUAACAGUAAUGAGAUUUAAUUAUGAUAUGAAAGUGAGAUUAAAUCAACAUAAUGUUAUUACUUGGCGAAAAUUCAAAUUUCUGUUUUCUCAGGUAUUUUCUCAGCAACCAAACAGACACUAAUCCACCAACUCAGAGUGGGAUCUGUCGACGUGGAGCUUGAUAUCGCGGAGACGAGAGGAGGCGAGGUGCUUGAGAUCAGGAAUCGAAGCUAAAGCGUUACUUUUGGGGGAUUCCAUGAGCGCCGCCACAACAGAGGCUGAGGCUCCUCCUCCGGCAGCGAAGGCCUCCCUCUUGCGCCUGCUGCUGGUAUUGAAAAUUGGCGAUUUCGGUGACGGUUGGUUUGCAGGGGAAGAAACCACUGGAAAUUGUAACCGCGCUUCCAGAAAGUUCGCGGUUAAGCAUCUCCGGGUUCGACUUCCGCUUCCACUUCCGCCGCUUUUCUUCAUCUCUCCGGUCGCUUACUCGUCUUCUUUCAGUUUUCCCUCUCUCGGCUCUGUGUUUUGAAAAUUUCAAAUUUUCUAAGAAAAUGGAGUUGGCCCCCUGACAGGUGUCUAUUUAUAUGUACGGGAUUUUAUAUGCAAAUUUUGGGCUAACAAAAUACAGAAAUAAAAAAUAAUAAUUGUAUCGACCUUCAUUGAAUUUUAUCAUUUCCUUUUGUUGGAUAUUAUUUGCUAACUAAAAGGUGAAGUUGCAAAAUGUACACGUUGCAUUUGACGCAGAGUGAAAUGUACGGAUGAUAUUUAAUGAAACACAUAUUAUAUCUUCAACAAUCUUCAUUAUUAUUUCGGUGCAUCACGGGUAACGUUGGAUUUGGUAUAUCAUUUUAAUAACAGUUAUGGUACUUGAAACACCAUAAUUAUGUGUAGGGGUGGGUUCAAAAAACUGAAAACCGAAAAAAACCGAAAACCAAACCGAACCGAAACCGAAAAAAUCGAACCGAACCGAAUUGAAAAAACCGAACCGAACCGAAUUCUUUUGGUUCGGUUCGGUUUUAGUGAUCUAGAAACCGAACCGAACCGAAUUGAUUAAAUUAAUUUUUUUAUUUAAUUAUUUGUUUUGGGUAUUAUUUUCUAAACCCAAUUUGUAAGUUAAAAUGUGCUAACCCAAUGUGUUGCCAAACUUUAAGCUCAAAAUAUUAAAAAAAUGCCUAUAAAAACUCUAAACCCUAACCUAUUAUUUCUCCCCCAUAUAAGGUUCCGGAACCAAACCUCUUCUCGAAGUACCUACAUCCAUCUCCAUAGCACUGUCUACUUCUGCGCCAGCUUUCUUUUCCAAAUCUACUCUCAUAUAACAUGUAACAUAAUCCAUAAACAUUUAUUUCGGGUAGAUUACUUGGGUAAUUUGUGAUGGAAAAGAAUCCAACACACACUAAAUAAAUCCAUCCACGCAUUACCUUUACUAAUCAAGUUGUCAACAUGCAGUUACAAGCAAACAACACUGAUCUUUGAACAACAUCAUACAAUUUAACUUUUCUAAGUCAUUUGUACGAUUUUUGUGUUGUGAGGUUGUUAGUUUGGACUUUGAAAGACUUGAUUGAUGAUUUUAGUUCAACUUUAAAUGUUUAUUUUCAUUGUUUUUUAUUCUAGUUAGAAUGUUUAUGUUAUGAUUGUGUUGGAUAUGUUAAAAUUUAAAAUUUCAAUGUUUUUCAUUUUUUGAAAAAAAAUAAAAACAAAAAACCGAAACCGAACCGAAAUCGAACCGGAAAAAACCGAACCGAAAAAAAAUUGAACCGAACCGAACCGAACCGAAAUUUCGGUUUGGUUUCGGUUUUGGCAAAAAACCGAACCGAUUUAAACCGAACCCACCCCUAAUUAUGUGUAUUGUGCAGAUUUGGAGGGAACUCAAUUUGUCCGCUCCUUACACCUGAAUUCAAGUUUCUCGUACAUAAGGAAUAUUGCUUUGUCAAAAAGAAAAAUGUGUAGCAAAUUCAAAGAACUAUGGAGCUUUUCAAUUGCAAGAAAGAUUUGGCAAUUCUGAAUUCAAUGUAAUUUCAAGAUCUUUGAAUCAAAUGAUGCAUUAAAACAUGAAUUUUGAAAUGAUGGAAUUAUAAAACUAGAACGCAGAAGUUAUAGGAGACUAGGAGUUGGUGAAAUUUCUUAUUUUUGUAUGUCACCUCCAGGGAAGGACAUGCAAUAUACAUCCCUCCCACAAGUCACAACAUGCAUCCUACAUUUCAAAGUUUCUGCAAAUGUCCUCUCCGGAUCUCUGUGUUCGAGCAAUGCAAUUGUAUACGGUAGCGAGCAGUCAUUGCUUCAACACCAACGUCCUGCAGACUGCAGUAGUCAGUAUACAAUGACUUUGCAUAUAUAUUGAGGACUUACUAAUGUCUUAUGGAACCAACACCCUCCUGAUUAGCACCGUGAAGAUCUGGGAGGUCAGCACUGACGGAGAACUUCAUCCACCUCUUUCUCUCGACGUAAGUGAGACAGGGCUGCAUCACAAGGCCGAUCAAUAUAGCGACAAGGCUCACAACCACGAUCUUAAGUGUCGAAAGAGCCAAAACUACACAAAUCAGUAUGGUUGGAGGAAUACACAUAAGAAUGGCUCCAACUGUUCCAACGGGUAUCUUGUAAGGACGAGAUGUAGCUGGGUACUUCACCCUUAACCGUAUGAAUGAUAUAAACUCCAAAAUAAUUUCAAAACAGUACAACAAGUUUUCUUCAGCUACAAUCUCUUGGAAGCUCAACCAAGAUAACUAAAGGACUCCAGAAGCUGAGAACAAAAUGCCAAUCACUGAGGUUCCAUGACGAGACCGCUUACCAAAAAACUGGGGGAGCAUCCCUUGUUCUGCCAUCCCAAGAAGUUGGAAGGAGUCGCUGCUCAUUUCAGCAACGAACAUCCCCAUAUUCGACACUGCUGCAGCUCCUUGGAUCCACCAUCUCAACCAAACUCCCCCAAUAAUCUUAGCGAUAUCUGAGAAAUAUCCAUUUGUCCACAACUCACGGUCGAGUGGAACAGCCCUAGUACCCAUUAAGAGCGGGAAGAAAUAUCCAAGAACAACUAAUAUCAAAGCAUAAAACAGAGCCUUUGGGAGAGUUUUCUUUGGUUUUUCUACCUCUCCAGCAAGUGUACUUAUCGAGUCCCAAUAGUUGAGAUUCCAGAAGAGAGUGUUGAGAUACAAAUUCCAGUCCACAUUGCGUAGAUUUACAACUAGCCAUCUCGAGGGCUUCACCUUGGAGUCUGCAGGUCCACAAUGUAAAGCUGCACUUCAAGAAGCUACUCGUAUUGUUAGAGCAGUUCCACCGUGGGAAAGGCCCCCCCAGGCAAUACACUAUGUUAUCCACCCAGUGAACAGUAACUGCCCUUAAUGAAUAGUAAUCGCCUUUUGCAUAUCCACCGUUGCACUUCAAUAGCCCUGGCACUAGGUAAUAAACUAUUAGUAUUUUUUUUUAUUUAUAAUUAAUAUUAUAUUACUUAUUUUGUAUAAAUUAAUAUUAUAUUAUUAAUUUAUCUCUUCCUUUUGAAAUGUCUUCCUAGAAACUUCUACCAUUUUUUUUUUGCUGCACUUCCGACACACAGCAGAGCAGCACACCAGUGUUAAAGUAGCAGGUGUGGCAGUCGGCGAAGGUGAGGGAGAGAGAGGGGUUGGACCAGAAGGCAAAGGUGAAGUAGGAGGUGAAGUUGGGGUUGCAGUACUCCGGGGCGGCCAGGACUGCGCCUCUUCCGAGGGGAGUGGCAGAGAGCUUGGCAAUGUCGUCGACGAGGAUGAGGUCGGAGUCGAGGUAGACAACGCGGCGAACGCAGAGGGGGUGAAGUUCGGUGAGGUAGGAUCGAGCAUAGUUGAGGGGGCAGUUGAGGGCGGAGCGGAUGGAGGUGGAGAUGAGGCCAGAGACGUCGCCUAGAAAAGCAAAGGAGAGAUGGCUGAUGUCGCCCAAAUCGAAAAAAAAAUUUAAAAAGGCGUCUGACGUCAGACCCACCUCAGGCGCUCGGGCAGGCACGAAUCCACGGGCCUCUCCCUCGGGCCUGCUCGGGCUCCCUCGCCAGCCAACGCUGAGCUUCCUCCCUCAGGCAAUCAAGCCCUGCUCCGUCCACUGUCCCUCGAGCAACUCAUCCCGCUGGAGCCACUCUUAGUAAAGGCAGUUAGUUAAAGAUAAUUUUCCCAUUUAUCAGUUUAUAUGAUUGUAAUUAAUUGUAUGGUUCUUUAAUUAUUCUUAUUCAUUGUAUUUAGAAAUUGGAAGUAUUCUCUAUACCUUGGAAUAUGAAGGGUCAUUGUACAUCUUUAUAAUGUAUUCUUUUCACUCAAAUCAAUAGAGGAAAAUCAAAAACUUCACACAUAUCAUUGAACAAAGUCUUACAGCUAAUGGAAAAGCAAUAAGGGCGUUGUUUGGUGCAAGCCAGGUUGGAAUUUCACACUUUGCACCCACCAUUUGCAAAUCAUGAGUCCAGUUCCCACCGGUGGGAUAUUAUUUUUUUUUUCACUUGUCACUUGCAUAUUGACCAAGUCUAUGUGCAGCUUGAUAUGAUGGUGACUUCAUGUAUUUUCUGACGGAUGCUGCUGUUAUAGCGGUUAGUUUAUCAAAUUAUUGAUGUUUAUUUGCUUGACACUUUGCAAUUUCAGUAUAGAAAUCCCAAUAGAGUGAGUUGCAGAGGGGCGAGAGAGUGAAUUGCAGAGUUGAGGGAUAUAUAUGAAAGAGAGGGAGAGUAAGUGAGAGAGAUUGAGAGUAUUGUUUGAGAGACAGACAAAUUUUUGGAUGGUGGAAACGGUCCGGGUCGAGGACUCGUUUCCUCAACAAUUAGGACUCGCCCCGCCCCGUCCCGUUUCAAAUUUAAAAAAAAAUUGGACCCGCCUCGAACCGCUUAAACCCGCCCCUACCAGUGGGUCCAUGCCCCGUUUGUCCACCCCUAAUUGUGAUUGUUGUUGGAUAUCAUAUAUUAUUAUUACAAUGUCCAGGAUUUGGGAAUUGUUAUACCUUUAAGGGAGUUUGAGGUUCUGCCGAAAUUUUAGUAUAAUUUGUAGUGUUUGUUUGACUUUUUUUAUUUUUUUCAGCAAAGAAAAAUACCCGCGGACCGUGUCGCUAGUUGAAGAAGGUGAAGGUCACCCAACUGACUAACGGACGUAUCACGAUCGGACACAAUGACUGACAUCAGGCUACACCAACGCUGGAGAAACAUAACGCAUUGGCCCAUGACAUUGGUCACGUCGUUUGGACCUAUUGCCCUAUGCGAUAGAAGUCUUGGAAGGCAAUGUCAAACGAGGUGAGGAUGAAGGUGCGCACUUAUUUGUCGAUAAGUAUCAUGCCUUUUUAUUGCUUUUUCUUUAAAUUUUAUAUAUUUAUAUUACUUAAUGUAUGUAAUUAAUUUGUUACAUUGCAAACGAAUUACAAUUUCGACGACAUCAACGACAAUAUGUUGGCGUACAUCAACAGGCUCUUCACUGAACGGUACAAGCAGUGGAAAAGAGACAUGCAGCAAUAUUUUCAGACAUUUGAUGAUCCGCAAGUCACUCUUGAGGAGGGUUGCCCAAAGGAGUUUGAGGAUCGGGAAAAAAUUGGAUGUGGCUCCGCAAUCAUUUUAUAUUAAACUUGCGGAGUUUGAUCCGCAAGUAUUCUUCAAUUAUAAUUACUAUCUUACGCAUUCAAGUAUCAUGGUUAUUAUUUAAAUGUUAUUAUUAAUAUUUCAUGUUAUAUUAAACUUGCGACGAUGAUGGGGAAGAGGUAAUUGGUUCUUCAGGAGUCUGCCUCCCAGCUUCCUCUCGAGACUCUGCUUGAGUCUGUGGAUCCCCCCCGAGGAUACGAGGUUUCAGAUCCUUACAGACACCUUGGAUCAGACUCUCGGAUGAAGGCUGAGGACGUAUUGUAGGGGGAUGGGGAAUGCUCGACGGCGGGAACCUUGAGCCUUUUCAUCCUCCCAGUCGAAGGGUGAGGUGACAGUUUUGACAGUAGAGGUGGCCGACCUUAGGAUUGAGCUCGCCUUGUAUAAGAGCCAGAUGUCACUAAUUGUACAGGCCCUCAGUAGUUUGGCAUUAGACUCCCAGAUAUUCGUCCCUUGUCAAUGUGCUAGCCCCUCCAACCCAAGCACUCCGCCCCUUCAACCUUAGAACCCCGAGCCCUUCUUGCCCCGAUCUUUCCAUCUACAUGUGAACGACGACCCUGUAGAUUAUUCCACCUUUUUUUUCUUAGUUGUUUAGUCCCUAACUUUUAAAACAUUUUCCUUGUACAUACAUUUUAUUGUUAUUUUAUUUUUAUUUUAAAUAAAUUCGUUACAUUUUUUUAUUUCUAUUUUAUUUUUUUAUUUUAUUAUAAAAUUAAACCCAGAACAAAAAAAUAUAAUUUUAAAAAAAUGUUUUUUUUUUGCGGGACGAAUAGCUUCAUCGUGCAUACUUUUUUGCAAUAACUCACUUUCGUCGCGCAAGAAUAUGUCAUCGCACAAACUUUUUAGACACGAAUAUUAGUCGUCCCAAGUUUGUAUCCUGGCAUUUUGUGCGACGAACAUAUUCGUUCCUAAAACUUUGGUGCGACGAAUGAGGAACCAUCACACCUUAUUUUCCGCGACCAAUGCUUUUGUUCAUUGCGCAAAGUCUUUCUUCAUGAUCUUUGCACGACAGAUUUUGCGCGACGAAGUUUUUGUCUUGCAUACGUUUGUACGAUGCUAUUAAGCUUUGCCCGACCAAUUUAUGUUCGUCGUGCUAAAUGUUAAACGUGGUGGUGAUUGAUUUUUACUUUAAUUUGAGUCUCAACUCAAUUCAAGUUCAACAAACUUUUAACAAAAUAGGGCUGAAAAUUUUAACUAGAAUGAACGAGUCAAGGAGAUCUCAAAACCAUAAAUUACGAGUGGGUGGGAAGAAUAUUUGAGUGGUUGUAAUUGUUGCUCCAUAUGAUCCUACAGUAAGCAAGGCUUCUAUCAUUGUGUGUGAUUAGUUUACUUUUGUGUUCUCGAUCGCUUAUAUAUCAUUGUGCUCUUAUUGGUUUGAGGAAAUAAAGGCUCAAACUUCCUGACAUUUUCAUGAUACUUCAAAAAAUCCAUUGAAAACUUACUAAAUUGUCUAACAUAUGGGCAAUUUGAUUCUUACUGUUGGAGGACAGAUCAGCAAUUUUCAGUUAUACUGCAGAAAGGAAGAAUACAAGAGAAUAUAUAUGGAGGAUGACUUUUGAACGGCGACUGAAAUUUAAUUUUAUUGCUUUCAAUUUUUUAUUACAACACUAGGCCAUCUUAUUAUUGGCUAUUUUUUAAUAACAUUCAGACCUUUUGAUAACAGCUAUAACUCUUGGAUUAGUUCCAAGAGACAUAACUCUACAUUACAGAAACUGCAUUACGUUUAACACUUACAUCAUUGACAUGAUCCUAGUUGAUCUAAGGUUCUUACAUAUAUCCUCCUUAGGUUCCUGAGUAAUCCUCUCUAGUUCCUCCUGAAAUCUCUCCAUGGCCGAGAAUGGCAAACACAUUGGUACCAAUAUUCCAUCCUCAGUGUUGUUUUUGUGUUGAACGUAGAAGCUAAUCAAAUCCAAGGCCUUGGCGGGUCCAGCAAAUACCGGUUGUCCCCAUCCAAAAUUGACAUCUCCAAAACCUGCACGCGUUGUAUCAGAAACUAUAAAAUAACUUCCUGUCGAUGAAUAUUGAGGUCGCCCUCUUAGUACCAAAAGAUCUGCCACUGAUCUUAAGUAUUCUUCAUUCAUGGUAGCUUUAGCCUUCUUCACCAACUCCAAAGCAUAUC